rnacentral:rRNA from 1 species
AUUGAACGCUGGCGGCAGGCCUAACACAUGCAAGUCGAGCGGAUGAGAAGAGCUUGCUCUUCGAUUCAGCGGCGGACGGGUGAGUAAUGCCUAGGAAUCUGCCUGGUAGUGGGGGACAACGUUUCGAAAGGAACGCUAAUACCGCAUACGUCCUACGGGAGAAAGCAGGGGACCUUCGGGCCUUGCGCUAUCAGAUGAGCCUAGGUCGGAUUAGCUAGUUGGUGAGGUAAUGGCUCACCAAGGCGACGAUCCGUAACUGGUCUGGGAGGAUGAUCAGUCACACUGGAACUGAGACACGGUCCAGACUCCUACGGGAGGCAGCAGUGGGGAAUAUUGGACAAUGGGCGAAAGCCUGAUCCAGCCAUGCCGCGUGUGUGAAGAAGGUCUUCGGAUUGUAAAGCACUUUAAGUUGGGAGGAAGGGCAGUAAGUUAAUACCUUGCUGUUUUGACGUUACCGACAGAAUAAGCACCGGCUAACUACGUGCCAGCAGCCGCGGUAACAC